ACAGAGGCGCGGUGUUCAAAAGUAACUCCCACGCAGCGACAGGAAUCGCGGAGCGAAAGGGGCCACCGCCGAAGGGUAUCUGUUUUCCUGGGCAGGUAUCGCUGGGCCGACGGAGAAUAUCCGGCGGACUGUCGCGCAAGCGGAGAGCUGUCA
rnacentral:ncRNA from 1 species